ACUAGGAUGCCUUCAGUAACGGCGAGCGAAGCAGGCAUAGCUCAAAUUUGUAAUCUGGCGCCUUUGGCGUCCGAGUUGUAUUUUCUAGAAGCGAGUUCGGCGACAGCUCCUACCCAAGUCCGUUGGAACGCGGCGUCAUGGAGGGUGAGAAUCCCGUGAAUGGUAGGAUGUCUGCUGCUAUGUGAACCGCCUUCGAAGAGUCGAGUUGUUUGGGAAUGCAGCUCUAAAUGGGAGGUAAAUUUCUUCUAAAGCUAAAUAUUGGCCAGAGACCGAUAGCGAACAAGUAGAGUGAUCGAAAGAUGAAAAGAACUUUGAAAAGAGAGUUAAACAGUACGUGAAAUUGUUGAAAGGGAAGCGCUUGAGAUCAGACUUCCUGUCUGGACUGUCCUUGCUUUUGCUUGGGUCAACAGUCCAGGCGUGGAGGCCAGCAUCAGUUUUGACGGCCGGAUAAAGGCCCUGGGAAGGUAGCUCCCCUCGGGGAGUGUUAUAGCCCCAGGGUGUAAUACGGCCAGUUGGGACUGAGGACCGCGGCUCUGCCUAGGAUGCUGGCGUAAUGGUCUUAAGCGACCCCGUCUUGAAACACGGACC
rnacentral:rRNA from 1 species